rnacentral:rRNA from 1 species
GGUCAAGUGAAGAAGCGCAUACGGUGGAUGCCUUGGCAGUCAGAGGCGAUGAAAGACGUGGUAGCCUGCGAAAAGCUUCGGGGAGUCGGCAAACAGACUGUGAUCCGGAGAUGUCUGAAUGGGGGAACCCAGCCAUCACAAGAUGGUUAUCUUACACUGAAUACAUAGGUGUAAGAGGCGAACCAGGGGAACUGAAACAUCUAAGUACCCUGAGGAAAAGAAAUCAACCGAGAUUCCCUUAGUAGUGGCGAGCGAACGGGGACCAGCCCUUAAGUUGUAUUGAGAUUAGCGGAACGCUCUGGAAAGUGCGGCCAUAGUGGGUGAUAGCCCUGUACGCGAAAAUCCCUUUGCAAUGAAAUCGAGUAGGACGGGGCACGAGAAACCUUGUCUGAAUAUGGGGGGACCAUCCUCCAAGGCUAAAUACUACUGACUGACCGAUAGUGAACCAGUACCGUGAGGGAAAGGCGAAAAGAACCGCGGAGAGCGGAGUGAAAUAGAUCCUGAAACCGUAUGCGUACAAGCAGUGGGAGCCCACUUUGUUGGGUGACUGCGUACCUUUUGUAUAAUGGGUCAGCGACUUAUUUUCAGUGGCGAGCUUAACCGAAUAGGGGAGGCGUAGCGAAAGCGAGUCUUAAUAGGGCGUCUAGUCGCUGGGAAUAGACCCGAAACCGGGCGAUCUAUCCAUGGGCAGGUUGAAGGUUGGGUAACACUAACUGGAGGACCGAACCGACUACCGUUGAAAAGUUAGCGGAUGACCUGUGGAUCGGAGUGAAAGGCUAAUCAAGCUCGGAGAUAGCUGGUUCUCCUCGAAAGCUAUUUAGGUAGCGCCUCAUGUAUCACUGUAGGGGGUAGAGCACUGUUUCGGCUAGGGGGUCAUCCCGACUUACCAAACCGAUGCAAACUCCGAAUACCUACAAGUGCCGAGCAUGGGAGACACACGGCGGGUGCUAACGUCCGUCGUGAAAAGGGAAACAACCCAGACCGUCAGCUAAGGUCCCAAAGUCAUGGUUAAGUGGGAAACGAUGUGGGAAGGCUUAGACAGCUAGGAGGUUGGCUUAGAAGCAGCCACCCUUUAAAGAAAGCGUAAUAGCUCACUAGUCGAGUCGGCCUGCGCGGAAGAUGUAACGGGGCUCAAACCAUGCACCGAAGCUACGGGUAUCACCUUUGGUGAUGCGGUAGAGGAGCGUUCUGUAAGCCUGUGAAGGUGAGUUGAGAAGCUUGCUGGAGGUAUCAGAAGUGCGAAUGCUGACAUGAGUAACGACAAUGGGUGUGAAAAACACCCACGCCGAAAGACCAAGGUUUCCUGCGCAACGUUAAUCGACGCAGGGUUAGUCGGUCCCUAAGGCGAGGCUGAAAAGCGUAGUCGAUGGAAAACAGGUUAAUAUUCCUGUACUUCUGGUUAUUGCGAUGGAGGGACGGAGAAGGCUAGGCCAGCCUGGCGUUGGUAGUCCAGGUUUAAGGUGGUAGGCUGAGAUCUUAGGUAAAUCCGGGAUCUUAAGGCCGAGAGCUGAUGACGAGUGUUCUUUUAGAACAUGAAGUGGUUGAUGCCAUGCUUCCAAGAAAAGCUUCUAAGCUUCAGGUAACCAGGAACCGUACCCCAAACCGACACAGGUGGUUGGGUAGAGAAUACCAAGGCGCUUGAGAGAACUCGGGUGAAGGAACUAGGCAAAAUGGCACCGUAACUUCGGGAGAAGGUGCGCCGGUGAGGGUGAAGCAUUUACUGCGUAAGCCCACGCCGGUCGAAGAUACCAGGCCGCUGCGACUGUUUAUUAAAAACACAGCACUCUGCAAACACGAAAGUGGACGUAUAGGGUGUGACGCCUGCCCGGUGCCGGAAGGUUAAUUGAUGGGGUUAGCGCAAGCGAAGCUCUUGAUCGAAGCCCCGGUAAACGGCGGCCGUAACUAUAACGGUCCGAAGGUAGCGAAAUUCCUUGUCGGGUAAGUUCCGACCUGCACGAAUGGCGUAACGAUGGCGGCGCUGUCUCCACCCGAGACUCAGUGAAAUUGAAAUCGCUGUGAAGAUGCAGUGUAUCCGCGGCUAGACGGAAAGACCCCGUGAACCUUUACUAUAGCUUUGCACUGGACUUUGAAUUUGCUUGUGUAGGAUAGGUGGGAGGCUUUGAAGCGUGGACGCCAGUCUGCGUGGAGCCAACCUUGAAAUACCACCCUGGCAACUUUGAGGUUCUAACUCAGGUCCGUUAUCCGGAUCGAGGACAGUGUAUGGUGGGUAGUUUGACUGGGGCGGUCUCCUCCUAAAGAGUAACGGAGGAGUACGAAGGUGCGCUCAGACCGGUCGGAAAUCGGUCGUAGAGUAUAAAGGCAAAAGCGCGCUUGACUGCGAGACAGACACGUCGAGCAGGUACGAAAGUAGGUCUUAGUGAUCCGGUGGUUCUGUAUGGAAGGGCCAUCGCUCAACGGAUAAAAGGUACUCCGGGGAUAACAGGCUGAUACCGCCCAAGAGUUCAUAUCGACGGCGGUGUUUGGCACCUCGAUGUCGGCUCAUCACAUCCUGGGGCUGAAGCCGGUCCCAAGGGUAUGGCUGUUCGCCAUUUAAAGUGGUACGCGAGCUGGGUUUAGAACGUCGUGAGACAGUUCGGUCCCUAUCUGCCGUGGACGUUUGAGAUUUGAGAGGGGCUGCUCCUAGUACGAGAGGACCGGAGUGGACGAACCUCUGGUGUUCCGGUUGUCACGCCAGUGGCAUUGCCGGGUAGCUAUGUUCGGAAAAGAUAACCGCUGAAAGCAUCUAAGCGGGAAACUUGCCUCAAGAUGAGAUCUCACUGGAACCUAGAGUUCCCUGAAGGGCCGUCGAAGACUACGACGUUGAUAGGUUGGGUGUGUAAGCGCUGUGAGGCGUUGAGCUAACCAAUACUAAUUGCCCGUGAGGCUUGACCAU